rnacentral:tRNA from 1 species
GGGAUGAUAGCUUAAAUGGUAAAGCUUUCCGCUCAUAACGGACAAGAUGUGGGUUCAAAUCCUGCUUAUCCUA